UAACCUUGGUGUUUAUAGCGUAUUGGAACCACUCCGAUCCAUCUCGAACUCGGUUGUGAAACGAUACAGCGGCGAUGAUACUAUGGGGGGUACUCCGUGGGAAAGCACGAUGCAAG
rnacentral:rRNA from 1 species